rnacentral:lncRNA from 1 species
GACGUUGAGGCGUACGAUGAUCCUUGAUGUUAAUCAAGAAGACUCUUCAAAGUCGGAAGACUUGAAAGUGUGUAAUUCCCCGCAGAGUCCAAUCAGGGAUGAGUGAAUGGGUAGAGAAGUGGCGAAGAGGCGUUGAGGCGUACGACGACCUUUGGAAUUAAUCAAGAAGACUCUUCAAAGUCGGAAGAUUGAAAAUUCUGUAUAACUCCCAGGAGUAUGUUUCUCGUCGAGCGCGGAGCGACU